rnacentral:tRNA from 2 species
GGAGGGUUGCCCGAGCGGCCAAAGGGAGCAGACUGUAAAUCUGCCGGCUUAUGCCUACGGUGGUUCGAAUCCACCACCCUCCACCA